rnacentral:rRNA from 1 species
GAUGAACGCUGGCGGCGUGCCUAAUACAUGCAAGUCGAGCGAAUGGAUUAAGAGCUUGCUCUUAUGAAGUUAGCGGCGGACGGGUGAGUAACACGUGGGUAACCUGCCCAUAAGACUGGGAUAACUCCGGGAAACCGGGGCUAAUACCGGAUAACAUUUUGAACCGCAUGGUUCGAAAUUGAAAGGCGUCUUCGGCUGUCACUUAUUGCUGGACCCGCGUCGCAUUAGCUAGUUGGUGAGGUAACGGCUCACCAAGGCAACGAUGCGUAGCCCACCUGAGAGGGUGAUCGGCCACACUGGGACUGAGACACGGCCCCGACUCCUACGGGAGGCAGCAGUAGGGAAUCUUCCGCAAUGGACGAAAGUCUGACGGAGCAACGCCGCGUGAGUGAUGAAGGCUUUCGGGUCGUAAACUCUGUUGUUAGGGAAGAACAAGUGCUAGUUGAAUAAGCUGGCACCUUGACGGUACCUAACCAGAAAGCCACGGCUAACUACGUGCCAGCCGCCGCAGUAA